UAUUUUCAUUUAGAUUCUGUACGCGUCCCACUCUCUAAUUCCGUUGUAAAUGGCGAGAGCUCCCUUCAGUCUCAUACGCUGCAUGUCUCUGAAUCCGUUUCUUCAUAUAUUUCUAUGGAAGAAAAGGAUAUAAAAUCAUUUCAUUCAUCUCAAAAUUCAAAACCCAUCUCCUGAUAUUUCUCUGAAAUCCUUAAAAACCAUCUUCUCAAUCUUUGUUUUUAUGGCGGGAACUCCAUUGCUGGUGAGAAAGUUUUCAAAGCUUUGAGAUUCUGUGAUUCUUGUUCUUGUUUUUUGCAUUUGGGAUUUGUGUAUCUGUAAAUAUAAGAAUACAGAAUCUCUUCUUUUGAUUGUUUUCUUUCUUCUAUGGCGAACCCAUCUGAUACCCAUCAUCAAGAUGCCAAUCGUGCGCCCUCUUCUUCACUGAAGCAAAUGCCACUGAAACAACAAGUCCUAUUCCAGGUUUGAGACAUGACCCUGGUAUCUCCACUGAAUGGAGCAAGGAGGAGCAAACAAUUCUUGAAGAUGGUUUAGUCAACUACAGAAGAACAUCAGUCUCCUCUGCUGAACUCGUGAUAACAUCCUCAAGAUUAUGAACGAGUUGAAUGACGCCUGAUGUAAUGAAGCAGAUGCCACCAUUGCCAUUCAAGUUGAAUGAAAAGCUAGCUAACACCAUGCUUCCCUAUCGUCCGAAUCUUCCAAUGAAAUGAUCAUGACCCUUCUCAGUCAGAUCAUCCAGCCUCCGAUCAACUAAUCUGUAGACGAUGGAACAGCCACCACCGGCCGGUUGA